CUCCUCACGUAGUUUUUGAAUAAAUUCUACUUCAAAGGAAUUUAAACACAGGCCAGCUAAGAAAGGAGCACAAUUCAUGCCCAUGGGAAUUCCAACAGACUAUUGAAAGACCUGAUCACCAAAGACCACGAAGAUAUUGUCAACGAGGAACUCCAGCAUAUUUUUAUUCAACUUCAGAGUAGUUGUGCAUGGAAUCAGAAUCCACGUUUGAUUUACACCACUUCUGGCAUAUGUAGUCGCACAAUUGUGGAGGCGUGUCCCUCUCAUAGUUGGUUGAUCGAAGGAAAACGAGGUGUUGAUACAUCACUAGCUGACUCACAAUGGACAAACCUUAAACAGCUGUUGUAUGAAAAUAUGUUUUGUAUUUUCAUUGAAAGAUAUUGAUCUGAGCAUAGAUUGUUCCCAUAUUCAAUAAACAUUAUAUAUGUUUCAUUCAUACUCAGAUGAUGACAAAACUCGUAAUGAUUUUGAUAUGGGAGAUCGACAGCUUUUACACAUCCUACAUGGUCCUCAGGAUAUGAGAGGAUCGGAGUUUUCACAAAUGACUAUCAGGAAAAAUAAAAAGAGAAACAUAAAAACGUUUGACAGCAAACCUUCAUUCAUCAUAGAUCUAGGAUGCCCGAGUUUCUCACGAGAAGAAAAUUUAAAGGUGAAAUCACAUAGGCGAUGUAAUACGAUGUCGGGAUAGGGUAUGAGGAUGGUGCACUCCCAGGGGCAUAUUCUUUGGCGUCUUCGCAGGACCGUGAUUCUAAUUUUCUGGUUUGAUGGAAUGUGAUGCUUACUCUGAAAAUCAAUCUGAAAUAGAAUUUUGUCUUUUGGUAAUGUGACGCCAGUUACUUAGAUAUCUAAUGAUGUAACAUAUUAGUUGUGUAAUUCAUCUCUUUAUAGUAUGCGAGCUGGCUGAUUUCCAGCGAGACCUACACACUUUCUGUGUGUUGUCAACCCUGCUAAUCCACCUGCAUUUUUGGCUAAAUUCGUACAUUGCUCCUACUCAUGGAUGAGCUUUAGUUUUCUUAGUUUUCUAGUUCUUGUAUUAAACAAAGGCAAGUCUAUUUUCUUUCCUGGUUCGUAAACUCUUGACAAUGCUUGAAAAGUAGAUUGCAAAUUUUUCAUGGAAGCCACAGGUUUUGAGGAACAGAUACUUCAGUGAUAUUUGUUGGGACUAGCCAAUAUGCUGCUGCUGCUGUUUACUCAAUUGUUUUCUGGUUAAACAGCAUGGUCCUAAACAUAGUCCACGACUCGUGACAAAUGCUAUCGUGGGUUUGUCUCUUGGUGUCAUUAUAUGACAGUAUCCUGAGCACAGAAUCAGAUUAAACGACAGCAUGAUACUAGUUAUUGGUUUGACUCGUCUAUAUACAUCCUGUUUGUGCAGUGUAUAUCUAAUCUAUAUUUUAAAAAGUAACCAUUCUUUUCGGCUUUUUAGCUAGCAAACCAACUCCGUUAUUGAGCUUUUCGAUCUUUGAUUACUUUACUCUCCAGCAUGACAUCUGAAUGUCUGUCAACCUCCUUUGAAAGGUAAGCUGACUGCAUACAGAUGAAUGUGGUUUUGUAGCAGCUUCUUCAGCUUCUUGUCAAAUCUUUUUCGGUCCUUUCUCAUUCUUUAGCAUUACUAAGGAGAUAUUAUUUCACCUGUCUAAUGAAGAGGUGAAGAUAACAAACAGUGAUCAAUCUCACAACCCCUAUGAGGAAUACAAAAUUAAAAGUUAGGCAAACACGAACCCUGGAUAAACCAGAGGCAGGAUCAAGUGCCUAGCAAGAGUAAGCACCCCAUAUCGACCGGUCACGCUCACCGUGAGCCCUAUAUCUUGAUCAGAAAAAUGGAGUAAUCCAGUAUGAAAAGAACGGUCUAACAAUUGGUAUGGAACACGUCGGACAGCAUUUGACCCAAUGAAAGGUGAAGAUAAGGAACAGUCAUCAAUCCCAUAAUUCCUAUAAGCAAUACAAAAUAGAUAGUUGGGCAAACACGGACCCUGGACACAUCAGAGGUGGGAUCAGGUGCCUAGGAGGAGUAAGCAUCCCUUCUCGACCAGUCACACCCACUGUGAGCCCUAUAUCCUGAUCAGGUAAACGGAGUUAUCCGUAGUCAACAUCAGUGUGCCAAGAACGGCGUAACAAUCGGUACAAAACACGUCUGACAGCAUUUGACCCAAUGAUAGGUUGUAUUGGCAAACUAGAUCGUUAUAACGACCAUAGAAUUUGCAAAAUUCUGACUUUAAUCGAGACCCUUGAAACCCCUGUACCAUCAACUUGUUUGUCAGUAGCUUGCCUCGAUUUGAAAACUGACCAUACGCAAAAGAAGCUCUUGCGUAUCGAAUCAGUUGAGAGAAAUAAACACUCUAUGCAGGUGAUAAUGGAAUAUUGCUACAUAAAUAUGGGAAGUUGACGAUGGAGAAGCUGAAAUCAUCCCGUUUGUCAUUAAGUUGAGUUGUUAGUUUGCCGUUGAUAUCUAUU